AUGAAGUCGUGGUAGUGACAAUCGCGUACGGUUUACGUUGAGCGCGCAUGCGUCCCCGGCCCCGUAAUGCACGUAGCACGUGCAUCGUUUCGUCCGUGCCAUUCAGCGUGAGCAGCGUAAAACUAUGCAAGGGGACGGGACGAUCGAACGAAGGACGAGAUCGAUACGCAGCCACGACGCGAUGAGUCAAAGAUCGUACGUGCUACUAUAUACACUGUCAAUAUAUGACGUACUCCUUCUUCCUGCGAGUUUAUUUUUCUACGUAAAGCAAGCGAGCACGAAGAAUGACUCUCGAUGACUUUGUGAAAUAUAUCCUCGUUGAUCUCACAGCUAUUUUUUUCUUCGACAGUCUCGUUGACGGUCCUUGGAAGAGUUGACGCAAUCGGAGAAAGAAAUCAGUCGUCUGAGGCGCGUAAUUGUGAGGCAGAACAAUUGUACGAGUGGUUGAAGAACGGUUUCUAGAUCGGAGGAAACCACGUUAUUCUCACGCGAAUACUACGAGCGUACGCGGUGAUCGUGUCAUUGAUUGCUUUCCGCGGAAAAGCGAGCCGACGUUUCCCAACUACAGCGACUCGCACUAUAAUGAGAGAAAAGUUGCGAAAUGGAGAAACUCCGUGAAAAAAAAAAGAGAGAGAAAGAAAGAUGCCAAACGGUAAGCAAGGACCGCACGGGACCUGAGCGACAAAGCGAUAAUUUCGAGAGAGGCAGUGCGUGAAAUGCGUAUAUACGUUACGCGAUAAUUACCUUCGCACCUGUUGCGUCUGUUCUUUCACAACAAU